rnacentral:rRNA from 1 species
AUUGAACGCUGGCGGCAGGCCUAACACAUGCAAGUCGAGCGAGCGGGGGACGGGUGAGAAUUGUAUCUGGAACUGUGCGUGAGAGGGGGAUAACACCUGGAAAAGGGGGCUCAUAUCGCAUAUUAUCGCAUGAAUCCACAUGGGGUUAGCUAGUAGGUGGGGUAAUGGCUCACCUAGGCGACGAUCCCUAGCUGGUCUGAGAGGAUGAUCAGCCACACUGGGACUGAGACACGGCCCAGACUCCUACGGGAGGCAGCAGUGGGGAAUAUUGCACAAUGGGCGCAAGCCUGAUGCAGCCAUGCCGCGUGUAUGAAGAAGGCCUUAGGGUUGUAAAGUACUUUCAGCGGGGAGGCGUUACCGGCAGAAGAAGCACCGGCUAACUCCGUGCCAGCAGCCGCGGUAAUAC